GAUGAACGCUGGCGGCGUUGCUUAACACAUGCAAGUCGAACGAAGCACUUUAGACAGAAGCCUUCGGGCGGAAGACUUUGGUGACUUAGUGGCCGGACGGGUGAGUAACGCGUGGGUAACCCUGCCCCUGUACCGGGGGGACAACAGUUGGAAACGACUGCUAAUACCGCAUAAGCGCACAGCAUCGCAUGAUGCAGUGUGAAAAACUCCGGUGGUACAGGAUGGACCCGCGUCUGAUUAGCUAGUUGGUGAGGUAACGGCUUACCAAGGCAACGAUCAGUAGCCGACUUGAGAGAGUGAUCGGCCACAUUGGGACUGAGACACGGCCCAAACUCCUACGGGAGGCAGCAGUGGGGAAUAUUGGCACAAUGGGGGAAACCCUGAUGCAGCGACGCCGCGUGAAGGAAGAAGUAUUUCGGUAUGUAAACUUCUAUCAGCAAGGAAGAAAAUGACGGUACUUGACUAAGAAGCCCCGGCUAAAUACGUG
rnacentral:rRNA from 1 species